rnacentral:rRNA from 1 species
UACGUAUGGUGCAAGCGUUAUCCGGAUUUACUGGGUGUAAAGGGUGCGUAGGUGGUGCAGCAAGUCAGAAGUGAAAACUCCGGGCUCAACUCGGAGACUGCUUUUGAAACUGCCGCACUGGAGUGCAGGAGAGGAAAGCGGAAUUCCUAGUGUAGCGGUGAAAUGCGUAGAUAUUAGGAGGAACACCAGUGGCGAAGGCGGCUUUCUGGACUGUUACUGACACUGAGGCACGAAAGCGUGGGGAGCAAAC